GCCAAGGCAAAUCAAAUAACAGCAAAACCCUCCGGGAGCUGACUGCCUGAUGAAUUCCCAACAAAUCAGCAGCUAGCUAGCCUUUUGAAAGAAAUAGAUGCAGCAAUUGCACCAUUAAGUAUCUCUCUAAAUGAAGUGGUGCUAAAGAUAAAUUUGAUUCAUGGGUUUCAAUGGGCUUUUCUGCUUAAUUUGCUCUAAUUGAGACUACAUCCAUGGCUCACAGAUAAGUUAAUGCUACCAAGAGAAACUCCAGCAUACCUGACCGCCUCAGAGAGCCUAAAAUUCCCACUCCCCACCAUCCUCCAAAAAAAGGACAGGCAGGAUAUCUGCAAAAGCAAUUUCGCAGGACUAAUGUAAAGAAGCUGAAACAACUUAAACACGCAAUAGAAGCACUGCAUUAGAGGGCCAUGCCUGGCCCUCUCAGGACCUCCCAGCCCAACCUCCACAAGUAAUUAAUACCACAUGUUUCCUUUAUCAUUCUAUUUGGUCUGUUCUGCAACAAUCUCUACCAACUUUAACCCUGGACUGCAACUAAAGGAAAACCCUAGGAAACUUCAGAUCCGUAAUAUAAAAAGAAAAUUGAAGAAUACUCUCAUUGCAAGGGACCAUAGUUACAAUUUACUAGGUAACCACACCCACCGCAUUGCAGAAGCCCUGAACUUGGCGGGUGUGUGACUGGGAAGGGGAAGAAGUCGGGCAAGACUACAGGGGAAACCCGAAUAACCAAGCCCCUGCGGCAGCAGCCAGGAAACACUCGCCAGGAACUGACUGAAACCCCCAACUCCAGCGGUCCGAAGUCCCAGCCUCCCCACCCCCACCGCCGCAGAGCCGCCUUCGCAGACACCUCCCCUGACGAAUCGCAGCCCCGUAGGCACCAGGUGAGUCGCGCUGCCCCGAGUCCCCCGGCCACCGCAGGCCGACCCGUGCGCCCCCGGCCAGCCUGCGGUCACGCGCCCGGGUGCCAGCGGCGAGGGGGCCCUGCAGGUGCCCAAGCCCCAGGCAACCCCGCUCGGACAUUCCCUCCUCUUCCCCCACAGACCCGGCCGUGCCCCGUCGCGGGAGGGGGCAGCUGCCCCAGAUUGGGGAAAGAGGCAAGUUACAUAAAAGCGGCCGGCCCCGCUGCCCAGCGGGGAUGCUUUGUGCCAAGCGCACCUUACCGGCCCCGAGCCGCACCCGCCCGCGCUUGCACCCGGGACUAGCCCGCAGCCGCCGCGCGCUGGGCGCAAGGCCCCUCCCAUGGCCCGCCAGCCUCCACCCGCCCGGGCGGCGCCUCAGUGUCGCCCCCCCACCCCUCACCUCUCCGCGGGAGGGGCUGGCCCGCGCUGGCCCCCAGCCCAAGGGGCAACUUAAAACAUGGCGCCCCGGGCGGGGGAUUUGCGCAAAUUGACGGAGAAGGGACAAGGGGACGGAGUCGCGCCCUCGGCCAAGGAUCCCAGGGAGGCCCCCAGGCCGGAGGCCGGGGCUCACGCUCCGCUCGCCGGCCCAGCCGCUGCUGCAGCGCGGCGGACGGAGCGGGCGCUGGGCGCGGCGCAUAGGCUCGGCCCGGCUGGGGUCCCGGCGAGCGGGAGGGCGGGUAGGGACCCCGGCCAAACCGGGCGCGGGGCUCGGGAUUCGGGAGACCGCGCGGCGCCGGAGCCACGCGACAGCCACACAACCCCGCGCGCCUCGCUCCAGGCCUCGGGCUCUUCCUCCGUACCUCGUAAAGCCGAGACCCCCUCGCAGUCCCCCACUCCGGGAGACGGAAAAGUUACCUGAAAUCGGCGGGGAGCCCGGGCGCGCCGCGGCGUGGGGACCAGGCUCGGGCGCGCGUCCUCGGCGGCGGUGCGCAGGAGACUCGGGCGUGGGGAGGAAGCCGCAGCCCAGGGCUGCUCGCCGCGGCUCCCCCCGCCCCCUGUUGCAGGAGACACCGAGGCUCCGCGGAGCUGCGGCGGGGGCCCACGCCCAGAGACCGUGCGAGGAAAGCCAACCUCGUCCUGCCUGCCCUCCCAGCCGCGGGGGAGGGGGGCACCGCAGUACUUCAGGACAGUUAUAUGGGCACAGCCUCCUCCUUCCUGGCGCGGGGUCAGGCUCCGUGGACGACGCCGGGAGACAGCUGCCAAUGCCUAUAGCUUUAGCCCUUGAUUCCCACUUAGAUGAUGGCCCGGCCUUUCCAGCCCCCGUCCCCUCCCAAACACCCCCUGUGAGAAAGGAGGGAGGGGGGUUGUUCCUGACCUUCAGGUGAGUUAUUUAUUGGCUAGGGACUGCAGUAUUUUUUUUUUCUUUUUGGAAAGAAAAAAAAAAUCAAGUUGGUGGUGUCUUGAAGUAAUGUUAACAGAGAAGAUCUGAAUUAAUGGUUGAUAAGGGAAGUCCCCAUCUUUCCGCAGGUCGGCUACUUGGUCCUCCCCAGUGUUUGUAAAGCUUUCCACUGAAAUAGAGAGGAUUUCAGUGAUUUGUAAGUGAAAGAAGUAAUUCCUGGUCCUGGUGGUCUCACAAUAUCUGAAGAUCUAACCAAGUAACCAAGACAUUUAAGAAAUAUUUUUAUGGGCACAAAAAUUAGAAUGAAUAAGAUACAGUAUUUGAUAGCACAACAGGGUAACUAUAGUCAAAAUAAUAUAAUUGUACAUUUGAAAAUAACAAAGUAUAGUUGGAUUGUUUAUAACACAAAGAAUAAAUGCUUGAAGGAUAGAUUCCCUGUCUUCCAUGUGAUUAUUGUGCAUUGCAUGCCUGUAUCAAAACAUCUCAUAUGCCCCAUAAAUAUAUAUACAUACUAUGUACCCUCAAAAAUUACAAAACAUUAUUUUUUAAUUUUUAAAAUAAAUUUUAUGUGUAUUUAAGGCAUACAAUAUAAGAUACAUAUAUAGUAAAAUGGGUAUUAUAAUGGAACAAAUUAGCAUAUCUAUCAUCUCACAUAGUUACGCAUUUCCCCCAACAACCCUCUACUUGUGGCAAGGGUAGCUGUAAUACAUUCAUUUAGCGAAAUCGUGAAUAUAAGACACUAUUCUUAGCUAUAGUCCUCGUGUUGUACUUUAGAUCCUUAUUACGUUGUACAUUAAUAUUUUUUUUAAUGGAGCCUUCUUCAAAUCAUCCAGUCACCCCUCAGGAACUUAGGGACUCAUUAAAAGAGGUAAAAAAUGGAUUCACAAAAAUAAUGCAUUUACUGGGUGCCAAAGACAGGAUACAGAACACGUACCUCUGGCAAAGAUUAGUGGGCCUGAUCUGUCAGUGAGGGUCGGGAAGGUGGGGAGACUUUGCACAGGUUUCUAGAACAGGGAAAACCAGUAGGAAAGUGGGAUGGCAUUUGAUUUCCUUGGCUGGAGUGGAAGGGUGUUUUCAGCUUGAAGGGGGAGAAGGUUGGAAAAUUAUAGUUACUAUGUUGCUAUGGAGUUUAUGGGACUAUAUUCUGUAAAUGUGCAGUUUUGGGAAAUUUUGAGCAAGAAAGUGUGACUUAAGUCAUGUUUUAGGAAAAGUAAUCUUAUGGUUCUGCAAAGACUAGAACAGAUGGGCAAAUACCAGAUUGCUGAUUGGAGGAGACUAUGGCAUUAUGACAGUUACCAGAGGUAACAAGGGCCUGAACUGUCUUUUGGGUGACAGAUAAAGAUGACGCUCCUGAUAGUGGAUGUUUGGGAAUUAACUGCAUUUCCUGUCAGGAAAUGUUGCAUACAAGUAUUAGAGAUAUAUAUGCACGUAUCACAUAUGUACCUGUAUGACUCUGUGUGUGUAGCAUAUACGGUCUAUGAAUGAAGAAAGAAUUCAUUUUCCUUUUUUGCAUGUACACUAAAGCACUCUCCAUUGAAAGUGGACUUGAAUAAAUUGUAUUGUUUACAAUAAAUACUCAUUUGGCAUUAUCAUUCAA